UACGGAGGGUGCAAGCGUUGUUCGGAAUCACUGGGCGUAAAGGGCGUGUAGGCGGUCCGCUAAGUCUGAUGUGAAAGCCCGGGGCUCACCCCCGGAAGGGCAUUGGAAACUGGCGGACUCGAGUCUCGGAGAGGAAGGUGGAAUUCCAGGUGUAGCGGUGAAAUGCGUAGAUAUCUGGAGGAACACCGGUGGCGAAGGCGGCAUCCUGGACCGGUAUUGACGCUGAGGCGCGAAAGCCAGGGGAGCAAACGGG
rnacentral:rRNA from 1 species